rnacentral:misc_RNA from 1 species
CUGAAACUUCAAAGUCGACCGAUAGUUGUUGCUGGUGAUUCAUUUCACAUGUGCACACUGUCGGUCGCAAUCCACACACACCUGUGCAUCUAUGACUCGAGGUUGUAAUGACUGAGAGUAAAUUUUACACACUCUUGUAUGUAAUGGAAUGUCUUUUGUGCUAUAAUGUACAAUAUAAA